AGAGCGAACGCUGGCGGCAUGCUUAACACAUGCAAGUCGCACGGGCAGGGGCAACCCUGUCAGUGGCGGACGGGUGAGUAACGCGUAGGUAUCUAUCCUUGGGUGGGGGACAACUGUGGGAAACUACAGCUAAUACCGCAUGAUAACUGAGGUUUAAAGGCGCAAGUCGCCUGGGGAGGAGCCUGCGUACGAUUAGCUUGUUGGUGGGGUAAAGGCCUACCAAGGCGACGAUCGUUAGCUGGUCUGAGAGGAUGAUCAGCCACAUUGGGACUGAGACACGGCCCAAACUCCUACGGGAGGCAGCAGUGGGGAAUAUUGGACAAUGGGCGCAAGCCUGAUCCAGCAAUGCCGCGUGUGUGAAGAAGGUCUUCGGAUUGUAAAGCACUUUCGACGGGACGAUGAUGACGGUACCCGUAGAAGAAGCCCCGGCUAACUUCGCGCCAGCAGCCGC
rnacentral:rRNA from 1 species